rnacentral:lncRNA from 1 species
GGGAGGCCAGACUUCCUGAUCACAUGGUGCUGAAGUCAAUGAAAAAAAAUUAAGGGGGACCCCUCCCUUUCUGCGCGCGGCCGGGGCCAGGCCCCCGCCUCCCACCCGGCCCGCUGGGCUCCGUGCGGCGGGAGCGGCGCGCUCCAGGCCGAGGGCCAGGGGGCCGGAGAGAGAAAACAUAAACACGAGAUUGUUGCAGUAAUUGGUGGCUCUGAAAACACUGAGGAAAUGAGAGGCUUGUACGAAACAUCAGCCGACAAGAAACGGGGUGAUGUCAGACAGCCUUCCAGGAUUAGAAACCCUUAAAAGCUCCGAGCCCGCGGCCGCUGCGGAAAGGCGCUCGGCUCCCCGGGAACCUCUCUGCUGCUUUUCUAAACCACACCCAGGACUAGUGCACAUAGUUGGACCUUCAUGGAAUAUAUGACAGCCCCUUUCCGGCUCAGUUUCCUGAUCAGCAGAAUGGUAGCUAUGCUCCCACACUCUGUAGGUCUUGGUAUAUUAUUUUUUUUCUUGGUGUAUUAUUAUUAAGUUUGCUUCUUGACAGGGAUGACUUGCUAUCUCAAGUAAUAAAUAAUGAUAGAUAUGUAACUUUAGCUUCUAA